rnacentral:rRNA from 1 species
AACGCGAAGAACCUUACCCAGGCUCGAAAUGUAGAGGACGACACCAGAAAUGGUGUUUCUCGUAAGGGCCUCUAUAUAGGUGCUGCAUGGCUGUCGUCAGCUCGUGCCGUGAGGUGUUGGGUUAAGUCCCGCAACGAGCGCAACCCUUAUUGUUAGUUGCCAACGAUUCGGUCGGGAACUCUAACAAGACUGCCUGGGUUAACCAGGAGGAAGGUGAGGAUGACGUCAAGUCCGCAUGGCCUUUAUGUCUGGGGCAACACACGUGCUACAAUGGCUGGUACAGAAGGCAGCGAAACCGCAAGGUGGAGCAAAUCCUAAAAAGCCAGUCUCAGUUCGGAUUGCAGUCUGCAACUCGACUGCAUGAAGUUGGAAUUGCUAGUAAUGGCGGGUCAGCUACACCGCCGUGAAUACGUUCCCGGGCCUUGUACACACCGCUACAGU